CCCGACACCAGCUACAACUUAAGCAUAUGCGUACCAGAAUCCGUGGGGGUUGAAAAAAUUACGGACAGACGGACGCACAUCCAAAUCGAUUAUUUCAUAGAAAACCAUGGUCAAACUGCCAAUGCCCAUAACUUUGUGAUAAUGUUCAAGAUAUCUUAAUUUUGGUUUUUUUCUACGAAAAAAAUCCAUUGUACCAAAAAUCUGAACCAUUCUUCCCUGUGUGUAAUAAUGGUUGAAAGAAUGUAUGUUCAUUUUUGGCGGGUCGACCCGGUUUCUUACGGUUUCCGCGUAUCUGAUAAGAGAUAGCAACUAGGUGUCGGCAAAGUUGUAGUACUCGCUUUUUUCGCGAAACUGAUAAGAGAUAAAUGAUAAUUGUAUGUAGCAAAGUUGUAAAGGAUCUCAAGCACUAUAAUUUUGCCGAAGACGCCAAGUCGUUAUCUCUAAUCAGUUCAGUGAGAAAACCGUAAAAAACCGCGACGACCCCCCAAAAAUGAACAUACAUUAUUUCAACCAUUGUUAGUUGCAUUUCUCUUUUUUGCUACGAAGUUGGACAAUCUUGCGUUCUUCUAGGUAUCACCAAUUUAUAUCUACUAUAUACCCAAUUAGUUUUUAAGGCAUUCAAAUGCACGCAAGCGUCAAUUACUUGACCAUACUUCGCUAUUAUUUAUUAAUAUUAUUAAUGGCAUUAUUGAACAUUAUUGAGAAUUCCAAAGGAUUAUUUGGGAUUAUUUUUGCAUUAGAUUGCAUUAUUUGAAACGUCCAACCAUAAUAUUUGUCAUAAAUGAUUAUGACGGGUGACACCAAUUUGCGCCUAGCCUUAUAGACUUUAAAUGGUGUAUGAAGUGUGGAUUGAGUGCGAAUCUCGACUUCCAGCUUAUGUACACCAUUAACAUGGCUGUACACCUGGUGUAGUUUUUUCAUGGGUACAUUUUCCCAAAACACUAGUUGAACUAUGACCACAGUUGACUCAAAAAAGCUUUAGAUAUUCACACCGAUAGAUUUUUGUGCAUUUAUUCUCAAAAUAAAAAAAUAAAUUGAAAAUAUCGGAAUUUUAUAUCCGUUUCUAAUUAGUCUAGCAACGGCUGUCAGAACAAACAACUUUCUUCGAAACAUGAUUCGGAUUGUUUAAAAUUGAUUAUGAUAAUCUUGGUUAAUCGAUAGAAUAAAAAAUCGUUAAACGGCAUAUUUCAAGGAGUUGAUUAAAAUAGAAUAAGGUUAACCCUUAAAUGGACUUGGACAUUUCAACGCACCUAUUACAAUAAAUAGAACAAAUAGGAUAUAUUCUAUUUGCUUAUAGAAUAACACAAUAAGCAUCGGUUCUUUUACAAUUUAAACUUUUGUUGGGAGAAACUGAUUUUUUUCAAGAUUCUUUCAUAGAAAUUUCGUUCUAAUAGUUGAUGGAUUUAUUUUGUUAAACAUUUAUUAUUUCUUACGAUUUUUUUAUUUUAUUUUAUUUUUCACGCAUUGUACUCGAACAUCUAAUUGCACCUGAAUAUUUCGAUGAUUUUACUGUGAUGAAAUUGAACAUUCGACAGACUGACCUCCUCAAUAAAAACUGACAGGAAUUUUCCCAGAAACGUUCCAUUGAGAUCGACUUUUCACUCGGUUCAACCAAGGCUAAGAAAUCACGCACUGGACUACUCAGGAAACGGUGGUGGUGCAGCUGAAUCACCUCAUACUGGACGCACGAGUUUCUUUUCUAAAAUUUCAUCCCGGUUCAGUAAACGGUAAGAUUCAUUUUAUUUAUAUGUGCGCGUUUUUUGUAUAUUAUUUUUCAAAACUGCAAAAAAAAACUAUACAAAAAGUAGAGUCAAUAUUCUGGUACAAUACAAACACGAUUAUUUUUCGCUUAUGAUUUGCGGUAAUGUCAUAUCCAUAAAUUCAGUUGUCGUUCUUAUUUAAUUUAUACUUGUGUGGUUGAGUUGAGUAGAAGACAGAAAGAAAGUUGUAUCUGUCUCUCGGCACAGAGAAAACGGUUUUGCUGUAUGUCAGUUCUAUCGCAACAUCCUGCAAAUAAACUUAACUGAACGUUAUUGAUUUUCUUGUUCUUGCUUUAGUAUGAGGGGAAGUGAAAAACAUUAUGAACAUUCUGAUGAUUUUUUAAAAUUUUAUAUGAAAAAUCCAAAUUCACUUUGACAUACUUCUAAAAUAUAGUCUUGAAUACAAAGAAAAUACGCUCAUUUUUAAUGUGAAUUUCUAUAGUUGGAUAGAAGAUUCAAAGCGGUCUUCAUCAAAAUUGAUUUCUCGGUGAGAUAUUCAAAGGAAAAAAAUGUUAAAUACAAAAACGUCUAAAAUUAAAACAAAAUCGUCUAAAAAUAUAAUAAUUUCAUCUAAAGGAAAUGG